AACGAACGCUGGCGGCAGGCCUAACACAUGCGAGUCGAGCGCCCCGCAAGGGGAGCGGCAGACGGGUGAGUAACGCGUGGGAACGUACCCUUAUCUUCGGAAUAGCUCCGGGAAACUGGAGUUAAUACCGAAUGUGCCCUUAGGGGGAAAGAUCUAUCGGAUAAGGAUCGGCCCGCGUUGGAUUAGCUAGUUGGUGGGGUAAAGGCCUACCAAGGCGACGAUCCAUAGCUGGUCUGAGAGGAUGAUCAGCCACAUUGGGACUGAGAUACGGCCCAUACUCCGAAGCGUGGGAGCAGUGGGGAAGAUUGUACAAGGGGCGCAAGCCUGGUCCAGCCAUGCCGCGUGAGUGAUGAAGGCCCUAGGUUUGUAAAGCUCGUACAGUAGAGAAGAUAAUGACGGUACCUACAGAAGAAGCCCCGGCUAACUUCGUGCCAGCCGCCGCGGUAAGAC
rnacentral:rRNA from 1 species